rnacentral:lncRNA from 1 species
AUGUCCCAGCGGGUUCCUGCCCGCCCUCGGGAUCUCCCCCAGCAGAGCCUCAGGCUGUCCCUGUGCACGUCAGCCCCCAUUUCCCCUUUGGGGGCCACAGAGCCGCUGCCCCCCGCCCCAGUAGGCGGAGCCAGAGGUGCAGGAAUUGCAGCCACCCCUGGGCCUCUGCUCUCCGGCUGUGCUGGCAGUCCCUCUGCUCCCAGUGGCCAGCGUUGUCCCCUGCCCCUGUGGAGGGACCAGCCAGGUGUCGCCCUCCAGAGCCUCUGCUGGCCUCUGUGGCUCCCACUAGCAGCAAUCUGCAGAAGGCAGAGCAGGGUCUCCCGUGGACGUGUGGAUUCAGGACCCGGUCCCCAGAGCGGGGUCUCCCAUGGACGUGUGGAUUCAGGACCCGGUCCCCAGAGCGGGGUCUCCCAUGGACGUGUGGAUUCAGGGCCCGGUCCCCAGAGCAGGGUCUCCCGUGGACGUGUGGAUUCAGGACCCGGUCCCCAGAGCGGGGUCUCCCAUGGACGUGUGGAUUCAGGGCCCGGUCCCCAGAGCGGGGUCUCCCGUGGGCGUGUGGAUUCAGGGCCCGGUCCCCAGAGCAGGGUCUCCCGUGGACGUGUGGAUUCAGGACCUGGUCCCCAGAGCGGGGUCUCCCGUGGACGUGUGGAUUCAGGGCCCGGUCCCCAGAGCGGGGUCUCCCGUGGGCAUGUGGAUUCAGGACCCGGUCCCCAGAGCAGUCUGCACCGUGGGCGUGUGGAUUCAGGACCCUGUCCCCAGAGUAGGGUCUCCCUGUGGGCGUGUGGAUUCAGGGCCCGGUCUGCACUGGCAUUUACCUGGGCGAGUACCCUCGGCCUGCUCCUGAGCACCGGGCUUCGUGCCCUGCCUCCCGGGGUGGUGUGGGAACUUGAGAGCAGGGUGCGUGCAGCACAGUCUGGUCUUCUUGCAGCGCCUGCGCUCUGCUCCAGUUCAGGCCCUUACUCCCCUUCGUAGCUCAGAGGGCAGCAUGCCGGGAGGCUACUCCACACCCCUGGGGAGAUCCUGGCUGUGGGCGCCCGGGGCCACCUCACGAUCUGCGGUGCGGACCACAAACACCCUGCACGUCUGUGGAGCACACUGUGCCUGCGUGUGUCUGGGGGGUCAUCCAUGGGGGACGUACGUGGUUCUGCAGGCAGGUGCACAGUUCUGUACCGCUGGUGUGGCAGUGGACUCACAGGUGGACACUGCUGCACAUGGCCGCUGCCGCGUGUCCCGUCCGUGGUCGGGGAGGGGAUAAGUCUUCAUGAUUUACUUGUUCUUGGCCACAGUCACACCUCUCUCCUGAGGGCUGUCGCGUGCCUGGUGGAACCGGCCGGGUGGUAGCGGCCCUGCGUGUGCGUCGUGUUCCCAUGAGCCAGCUCGUGUGCCCGCCUCCCUGUCGGCCCUGUCUGGCCUCACUGCAGCUUUCUGCGAAGAGUGAACUUGACGGCAGGACAAGGCAGGCGCUGCUCAUGUUUAUUAACGCGGGGACUAAAAAAAGCCGGCUCGCUGAUGGCAUUCGCGUGGCGAAAUUUCCACAGGCGCUGAUUUCUUUUGAUUUUCUCAGGAGAAGAGUGACGCACCCUGAAUACUAAGACCCCACUCCCCUCCGCCGUGGCACUUCCUGGGGAGCUGAGUCCCUAAGGACACUGGGCGCCUCCCCUGCUGUGGGGCCCUCCAGCCCUGGUUUGCAGGGCAGCAGACGGGCAGGAGAUGGGGUCCUUAGACAGAGCUCCCCCAGUGCCUGAACGAACUGUGAGUGGCAGCUUGGUGUCCUUUGAGCUUGGGACCCUCAGCGGAGCCAGCCUGCCCCCUGUGCACAGGACCCAGAACACAGGUGGCACAGAGGGGCAGUGCAGCCAGUGGCCCCAGCCGUCUCCCCCGGUGGCCCAGCACGCAGGCUGUCAGGCAGUCUGUGCCUCCGUGUUCCCACCCUGGCGCUGUGGCCCCCGCGGCUUACAGAGUUCCUGGUGCC